rnacentral:lncRNA from 1 species
UCGCCACGCCUAGGAACUUAGUGUUCUUAUACUCCACGAAACAACCUUCAAGCAGCAACGCGCCGCCGGACGCGCCCCCGCAGAGACUUUGUAGUAUGCGAGCAGCUUGCGCGACGCAUCUAGCGCAAUCAUCGGAACGUGUGGAGAGGUCGCUGCGGCAGUGGUGCAUCCCGUGGACGGUUUUGCCGUAGGUUCCGACAGUGAAAUGGUCGUAUGUAAAGAUAUUAGCUGAGUUUACGAGCGAGGUGAGUAGCGAGUUGACAUUUGAGUCGUAAGAUGAUCCGGGAAGGUACUUGGAGCAAAAAGACGAUCCUCGAAAGUAGUUUGGUUGCGUACAAUGGUGGUAGUAAAGAAAAGUAUUGUCGGAAGGAGAUGAGAAGUUUCUGAUAAGAGAUGCGGCUGCGAUGACGACGGAGAUGGCAAUAAUUGUGUUUAUCGGUGACAUGACGUUCUCUUUCGCUAAUGUGCUGCUUUCGAGUGUUUUAGAAAAUAUUUAAGUAAUUAUGAGAUAAUGGCAAGCAACUCGUUAUUCUUUGGUGGCUUUUCUAUAUAAGUAAAUAAAUAAUUUUCAGAAAAUUAUUAAAUUACAUGACAUCUCACCAACUUACACGAUUAUGAAAGUGUUUCAACUACAAAAGUAGUCAUCGGAACUAAAAAAAUAAUAAUCAAAUUAAAAUAUCAAGUUUCUGAUUUAAUAAAAGGUUAGAGAGGUGAUGCUAAUGGAGGAAGGAUCGAAAUGGAGAUGGAUAUUGUUCUACCAAAAGUACAACAACGUUAUGAAUGCAACUUAAAAAACUAUAAUAAUUACUUUAAAUGAAAAUUGAGAGAAGUAGUAUUACAUCACUUACAAAAUUGACAUAAAUGUUAAUAUCAUUUCAUAGAAUUGAUAUAUAUUGAUAUCAUUUAAAUAAUUGAUGCAAAUAGUUGUCAUUUUUGCAUCAAUUAUUAACAAAAUGAUGCAAAUUAUUUGUAUCAUCACUUUCAGAGUCAUUUAAAUAAGUGAUGCAAAUUUAUUUUACAUCAUUUAACACUGAUGCAAAUAUUUAAAAUAACUGAUGUUAAACAAUCAUUUUUUUUAGUGUGAGUAUAUAAAUAAAUGGGCUGUUUAAAAGUUAAAGAAUUAAUGCUUUUGAAAUUAUUAGAGGGUUAAAGUGUGCUGGGAGAAAAUUAAACUUUAAAAUAAAUUAAAACCACAACAGCUUUAAAAGAUUAAACUCUAAUCAUGGUUUUUAGUUUGGCAAUAGGACAACAAUAAAAGCUGUGAAUUACAUUCAACUCCUCUUGUUGUAGACUUGUAGUAUGUCAUAUGGAAGAGUUCCCUUUGGAGAUUUGGAAAUAGACAAGUAUAAACAUUCUUUUAUAAAUAAUUUAGGAUGGUUAGUUUAGUUUUUCUUUCAAAACUUAAAAUAUUUACAAAACUGGUCUUUUAAAGAUAAAUUAGAAAGUGAUAUCAAAUUUGUGAAAAAAUUUCCAAAUUUUAAUUUAAAUAUUUAACGUUAUGAAUUAUCUAAUCUUUCUUCAAAUAGCCAUGUUCGCAUUGUAAAGAUCUUAUUCGACAUAAGCUUUCAUAACAUCAAAGCCGAGAUCAUUCACACGGUUGCUCAUAAUACGAAUAUGCAAAAAAAAAAAUAGCAUAUCUUAACUUAAUAUGGAUAGGAUGUAUAAGUUAUUUUCUUAAUUAUCCAUUUGAUCCAAACUUUUCUAUAUAAACUCACAUAUUAACUAAUUAAAACAGCUCAAAGAUAAAUCACUAGUUGAAAUAAAAUUUUGAGAAUAAUAGUAAGAAUUUUUCGUCAAUUCUGCUCAGUUUUAUAUUCACGAGAGAAAAAGAUCAUACACUAUUUUUAACAUAACAAUAGCAAAAAAAUACAAAACGUAGGUCAAUAGUGAUUUAAGUUUAGAUAGUACAUAUGAUGUCUUCUGAUAAAAGAGGUUCCUUUGGGUGGCCACGUGCUUAGCCCGUAUCCCUUUCUUAAACUCUACAUUGAAAAAACAUUUAUCAUAUAUAAAUCUUUUAACUAAAUUAUAUAUUAGAAGAAACUCAUGCAUAAGAGAGAAUGUUGAAUAAGUUAGACUGUGGUUACCAUUUUUAGACAAAAUAUUACAUGUGAAAAAAAAUUUAUACUUUCACAUGUAAAUUUUUUUUACCAAUCAAAGAUAUUUUAAUUCAUUUUUAUUUACUUUAGUAACUUUAGUCACUGUGAUUCCCCCAUUUUCUCUCUUUCACUCCCACCUUUUAUGCUUCUUCCUUUUUUAUAGAAAUUACCAGCACAGGCUCACAGCUUUAUAAUCAUUCUAUGACUUUCUCUUAUUAUUUCCAAAAUUAAUAUUCGACCUUUAAAAAAGAAACCAAACAGAGAAGGCUUUAUAGUUACCUUGGCCGAUGGAUCCACUUGACGAGUAACCAACGUAGCACUUGGCUAAGUAAACGUCACUCCAAGUGCUUGUUCCGCAAAACGGUUGAAGUUUCAGCCGUUGGAUCGCUUCCAUCAAACAGUCUUGACAAUCCGUUGCACUGAGAUCUCCGGUGCACUGCGCUACAGCUUGCGCUUUCCCUGACCUCUCCACUCUGUAGGACGUACCACUACUUGCAACCACGUCCACCAACACCUUAGCCUGAGUCAACUCGUCCGACUUAUACUUAUACCCAGCCGGUUUUCCGCAACUCAUAACCAUAGCCGUCGUAUCCGCCACUCCAAAGAACAUAACGUUAUCGUACUUCACUAAGCAGCCUUCGAGCUGUAAAGCGCAGCCGCUCUCACCAAAGCUGUCACUUCGGAGCAGGCUAACAGCUUGCGUGACACAACUAACGCACUCAUUGGAGGAGAGAUCACCCCGGCACUGGUGUAGCCCGUAGUUUCCGUUGACGGUGAGGUUGUUGUAUGAGUAGAUAGAAGCUGAGUUUACGAACAUGUUGAGUAGCGAGUCGACAUUUGACCUGGAAGACGAUCCUGGAAAGUACUUUGGUGGAGAGCAGUAGUGGUAGUAGACUAACGGCUCUACGGUGGGAAAUGCAAAAUUUGUGAGAAGAUAUACGGCUGCGAUGACGACGGAGAUCGAGAUAAUUGCUAUUGUCGCUGACAUGAUCACUUUCGCCGAUGUGUUACCUUUUGGCCUUUGGGUGUAUAUGUCUGUAUCACAAAAUAUGAGUAUGUAUGCAUGAGAAAGGGGCAGGCAAUUCUAUAUGCUCAGUGCGUUGAGACAUAUAUCCUUAGUGAAGUCUUUGCAAUACGUUAUUCGGUUACAUAAAAUAUAUGAAAAAUUGAUAAAGUGGCAGGCAUCUCUUUAUGUUCGGUGCGUUAAUAUAUGCAUAUACAUAUAUCAUUAUGAAGCAUUUGCAAUACGUUAUUAGGUUAUAAUAUAUAAAAUAUUCUUAGCAUUCGUACCAGAAAAGGUUAUACAAAUAUAUGAAAACAUGAUAAAGUGGCAGGCAUCUCUUUAUGCUCGGUGAAUUAAUAUAUGCAUUAGACAUUUAUCAUUAUGAAGCAUUUGCAUAACUUUAUAUGGCUAUAUAAAAUAUAACAUUCGUACCAAGGAAAGGUUAUAAAAACAUAUGAAAACUUGAUAAAAGUGGCAGGCAUCUCUUUAUGCUCAGUGUGUAUAAUAUAUGUCAAUGAAAGAAACAUUAGCAAUCGAUUAUUAAUUCAUAAAAUAUAUGAAACACAUAAAUACAUCAUUAUAUAACUGGUAGGCAGCUCCUUAUGCUCGGUAUAUCAUUAUGAAAACAUUCGCAACAGAGUUUUAGAUUGUAUAAAAUAUAUGGAAACUGCUUAAUUAAUCUAACUAGUUGGUAACUAUCCCUCCAUGAGAAAUUUCAAAAAAACAAACUAUCCAUCCAUGAGGGGUUUUCUAUAUAAAUUAAUAUAUUACAAAAUCUCACCAUAACAUUAGUUUUAAUUAAACACACUGAAAAUUAAUAUUUCCUCUAUUUCUGAAAGAUUAAAAUUAAAAAAAAAAAUAUUUUAAAUAAGAUAUAUGUUUAAAGUUCGUAUAUAAUUUUUUUAAUUAAUAAUAUUAAAUUAUAAAUUUUGAAAAUGCUGAUUUUAAUUACUGAAAUACCAUUAUAUUUAAAUAAUUAGACAUAAAUAACCAUAAAUUUAUGCAUUUAUAAUAUUAAUAUAUUGUUUCAAUAUGUGAAACGCCAAAAAAAACGAUACAACUUUUUAAAAAGAGGGAGUAUAACUUUGUUGAUAAUAUUCAAUAUUUACUUCAUUAGGUCUAUAAUAACAAAUGUCAAACAUCUGGAGUAUCAAACAAGUAUGCAUGACUUUCAACAACUUGCACGAUUUUAGAACUGUUAUAAUACUAUAUCAUGAGGAAUCGAAAUAAUUUAGUAACAAUAAAGAUCAACUUGCUGAAGUAAAAAGGUUUAACAGGUGGGUGACUAAUGGAGGAAGAAUCAUUUCUGAAGAUGGACAUUGUUUGACCAAAAUUACAGGAACAAAGUUGUGAUUGCAUUAACUUGAUUUGGUAAUUUUGUAGUAUGCGAGCAGCUUGCGCGACGCAUCUAGCGCAAUCAUCGGAACGUGUGGAGAGGUCGCUGCGGCAGUGGUGCAUCCCGUGGACGGUUUUGCCGUAGGUUCCGACAGUGAAAUGGUUGUAUGUAAAGACAUUAGCUGAGUUUACGAUCGAGGUGAGUAGCGUGUUGACAUUUGAGUCGUAAGAUGAUCCGGGAAGGUACUUGGAGAAAAAAGACGAUCCUCGAAAGUAGUUUGGUUGCGUACAAUGGUGGUAGUAAAGAAAAGUAUUGUCGGAAGGAGAUGAGAAGUUUCUGAUAAGAGAUGCGGCUGCGAUGACGAC